CUCGCUCUCUUGGGUUCCAGACUAGCAGAGAGAGAAGAUCCGUGCAACUAAGACAAGACCAGGCCAAAGCCUGAUAAUACUAAACCGUUUGAUAGGAGAAAUAGUAGACCCUCCUUACAUCUGUAUUUCUAAACUGAAUCGAAACAUAGAAUGUGUCGGCAGAUAAGAACCAUUUGGUCCAUCUCAUCAGCCCAAUAUCCUGAAUUCUUUGAUUAACUGAAGGUAGAAGUCAAGAAAGACUCAAAAGGAAGUAGCAAUAUCCGGCCCCUGGAAGAAACACAUAAAACAAUGUGCAAAUAAAGCAGGAAAAGACAUCGAAGGAGAUUUAUCAUUCUUUACAAACGUAUGGCUUUUAUAUGACAAUUUUUUUUUUUUACUUACUUUUGCUUACAUGUGACCUAUUUAUCAAAUAGUUUCACGACCUUGAUAAAUAAAUCGCAUGUAAGCAAAACCCGGGAAACCCGCUUACAAAAGUAUUUUUUUAAACAGAAAAGUUUUCCCUUAUGUUAAUAGCUGAAGUUCUUUAUCUACCCUUUAUUAACAGUAGAAAAAGACAAAGAAGGAGCGCUCCAUAAUGUAUUAACGCCAGAUCAUGCAAAACGCUCAAUGUAAAGUAACGCUUACCAAAACAAGUUGUGCAUAAGCCAGCACAACGUGGAGAAGGGUAUAUAAGGUGAUCCACUACUGCCGCUCCACAAUUAGGCACAAUUCUCCUGCAAUCAUAACGGGACUUAUAACAGACGAUAGGGGAAUCUCAUUCAAGUGAAUGGGAUCCUCUUUGCCCGUUAUAACUCCUGUUUUGCUCUGUUACAAUAAGGGAUGUUAAUGGCAGCCAAAGUAGUAAGAAAAAAAGAGCCAUUAACGUCCCUUUGUAACGGAGCAAUAGUAGAGUGUGA